AAUUUUAACCAUUUUGAUAGUUCUCGAGUGAAAACCAAAAAAUGAAUGAAAAAUUUAGAAAUAUGUACAUCACGCCAUUUUGAAAGUGAUUGGUUCUGCAGCCACAGGUGCAUUUUCUGUUAAAAAUAAGAAAUUUAACAUUUUUCGCUUAUUUAGCGCCAUUUAUAGAUGUGAAAAUGGAACGACGAACAUCCUCUGGUCCGGAAAGGGAAAGCCCGCUGGAGUUAAAUAAUCGGAAGCAGUAUUCGACCUGGUGCGGAAAACAGCAAAAAUUCGUUCAAGUGUUAAAAUUUUUUGGUCCGGUCAUUUUCCGUAUCAUCCGGAGGGAGCUGAAGUGGGUAGGAAUGAUAGGAAAACAUCACCCGGAUAUAGAGGAAAUGGUACAUUCGGUAGGGCGAUAGGAUAUUCCCAACUACAUCUGCUGCAACACUAACAUCCCAGCUCAAAUAGUUGGAAAAACUACAGCAGCAAAUUAAGUAAUACAACGGAAUAAUGCAAACCCAUCCUUGAGCAGAUUUCUAAAAAGGCUAGCCUCGCUUGGAAAGGAAUAACAAGAACUUAAACACUGUCCAUGGACCACUUCCGGCAGCGUCUACACUUGGUCCCAAUCAAGACACUCGUCGACAGCCCAACAGCAAGCUUCAGGGAACAGUCUGUAGUGACUCUACAG